CAGCCUGUCCAAGUUAUUCCAGAGCAAAGGAAUAAGUGCUUCAUCUCACUAAUUCUGAGCAAUAUUGAGGAGCAAAUGUAUAGCUAUUGGGUUGCCAGAAUUCACAUAGGAUGAACGUCAACUGCUCCAGCCACGAAAGCAUCGGAACAGAGUGGUUUGCAGUGCCUGGGUUCUGUGUAAGCCCAGCUUAAGGCAAGAUGAUGGAAAAAUUUGCUCAACAGCUUCCAAGCAGACACCCAUCCAGCAAUCACUGGGAUCGACAUAUGUUUGAAGUGUGCGUGUUUUUUAACUGCUUCCUGUCCCCAUUCGAGUGGGGAAUAAAUGGUGAUCAUUGCAUUUAUA